UUAAGAGAUUAAAGUUUUCGGUUCGGCCGGACGAAACACAGGUGCUGCAUGGCUGUCGUCAGCUCGUGUCGUGAGAUGUUGGGUUAAAUCCCGCAACGAGCGCAACCCUCACUUUUAGUUGCCAUCGUUUAGUUGGGCACUCUGAAAGAACUGCCAGUGAUAAGCUGGAGGAAGGUGGGGAUGACGUCAAGUCCUCAUGGCCCUUACGUGUUGGGCUACACACGUGCUACAAUGGCAUUUACAACAGGAAGCAAGACGGCGACGUUAAGCAAAUCCUAAAAAAAUGCCUCAGUUCGGAUUGUACUCUGCAACUCGAGUACAUGAAGCUGGAAUUACUAGUAAUCGCGGAU
rnacentral:rRNA from 1 species